rfam:Triticum urartu cultivar G1812 contig366268, whole genome shotgun sequence.
AAAGUACUCCCUCCGUCCAAAAAUUCUUGUCUUAGGUUUGUCUAGACACGGAUGUAUCAAGUCACAUUUUAGUAUUAGAUACAUCCGUAUCUAGACAAAUCUAAGACAAGAAAUUUGGGACAGAGGGAGUAGUUG